rnacentral:rRNA from 1 species
GACGAACGCUGGCGGCGUGCUUAACACAUGCAAGUCGAACGGAAAGGCCCUGCUUUUGUGGGGUGCUCGAGUGGCGAACGGGUGAGUAACACGUGAGUAACCUGCCCUUGACUUUGGGAUAACUUCAGGAAACUGGGGCUAAUACCGGAUAGGAGCUCCUGCUGCAUGUUGGGGGUUGGAAAGUUUCGGCGGUUGGGGAUGGACUCGCGGCUUAUCCGCUUGUUGGUGGGGUAGUGGCUUACCAAGGCUUUGACGGGUAGCCGGCCUGAGAGGGUGACCGGCCACAUUGGGACUGAGAUACGGCCCAGACUCCUACGGGAGGCAGCAGUGGGGAAUAUGGCACAAUGGGCGGAAGCCUGAUGCAGCAACGCCGCGUGCGGGAUGAAGGCCUUCGGGUUGUAAACCGCUUUCGCCUGUGACGAAGCGUGAGUGACGGUAAUGGGUAAAGAAGCACCGGCUAACUACGUG